UAACCCAUAAUUCUGCACAAG
rnacentral:piRNA from 1 species